rnacentral:rRNA from 1 species
AACGAACGCUGGCGGCAUGCCUAACACAUGCAAGUCGAACGAGACCUUCGGGUCUAGUGGCGCAAGGGUGCGUAACGCGUGGGAACCUGCCCUUAGGUUCGGAAUAACUCCCCGAAAGGGGUGCUAAUACCGGAUCAUGUCUUCGGACCAAAGAGUUAUCGCCUUUGGCUGGGCCCGCGUUGGAUUAGCUGGUUGGUAGGGUAAAAGCCUACCAAGGCGACGAUCCAUAGCUGGGCUGAGAGGAUGAUCAGCCACACUUGGACUGCGACACGGCCCCGACUCCUACGGGAGGCAGCAGUGGGGAAUAUUGGACACUGGGGGAAAGGCUGAUCCAGCAAUGCCGCGGGAGUGAUGAAGGCCUUAGGGUUGUAAAGCUCUUUUACCCGGGAUGAUAAUGACGGUACCGGGAGAAUAAGCUCCGGCUAACUCCGUG